GGUCCACAUAAUCUCCCUGCAAAAUGAAACAAAAUGUCGUUUUAAAAAAUAGGGGUCCAUGCACUCGUUUUCAAAUUAAAUCAGUUUGAAUGAUAAAAAAUAGUCGAAAAUGCAUCUUUUCCCGAUAUGUUGACGUUGCAAAAAUAACAUUUUACGUUAGCAACGUCAUUACCUCCCCUGUAACUGUAUCAUAUGCCCUUAAUGCUGUAUGAUUGGAACAGGACUGUACAUAGCAAAUGCAAUAAUACGUACGAAGCUUUAAAUAUCAUUGCAGAGUUAUGGCCUAACAUUCAGCGUAAUCUCCUUUUCUAUAUAUUGUUUAACUACAUCUCCCAUGUCAUGUAUUCCAUCUGAUAUGCCUAAAGCAAAUUUUUUUAACUACAUCUCCCAUGUCAUGUACUCCAUCUGAUAUGCCUAAAGCAAAUUUUAUUUAGUUUAAGCAAUUGUACAUUAUACUACUCGCAUAUAAGCUUGAAAUCUUUUUGCUGAAUUUUCAUAUGAUUUUUCUCUCUUAUGUUUUUGAUUAUCACUACAGACAGG
rnacentral:lncRNA from 1 species